rnacentral:rRNA from 1 species
UACGUAGGGUGCAAGCGUUGUCCGGAAUUAUUGGGCGUAAAGAGCUCGUAGGUGGUUUGUCGCGUUGUUCGUGAAAUCUCACGGCUUAACUGUGAGCGUGCGGGCGAUACGGGCAGACUAGAGUACUGCAGGGGAGACUGGAAUUCCUGGUGUAGCGGUGGAAUGCGCAGAUAUCAGGAGGAACACCGGUGGCGAAGGCGGGUCUCUGGGCAGUAACUGACGCUGAGGAGCGAAAGCGUGGGGAGCGAACAGG